rnacentral:rRNA from 1 species
GACGGAGGAUGCAAGCGUUAUCCGGAAUGAUUGGGCGUAAAGCGUCCGCAGGUGGCAGUUCAAGUCUGCUGUCAAAGACCGGGGCUUAACUUCGGAAAGGCAGUGGAAACUGAACAGCUAGAGUAUGGUAGGGGCAGAGGGAAUUCCUGGUGUAGCGGUGAAAUGCGUAGAGACCGGAAAGAACACCAACGGCGAAAGCACUCUGCUGGGCCGACACUGACACUGAGAGACGAAAGCUAGGGGGGCGAAUGGG